UGCAGAUGAUGUAAGGAAUAUUUGCUAUCUAAACCUAAAUGAUGACAUUUUUCCCACCAAGAUCGCUGAUGCA